CUUUAUAACGCUGUGUGUUAUUACAUGCUUCAUGUCGUGUUCACUAAUGUAUCAGGUGAUUUUGUUUGGCUGCACUAGGAUUGCCAGGUAGCCGAGGAGAGCCAGGCCCCCCAGGAGGUCCAGGGCGAAAAGGAGAGAAGGGAGACGAAGGUGAGGAAUGGACACUGACAAUCUUUACCUUUACCCUGACCCCUGAUAAUCUGCUAAUUCACUGGGAGAGCCAAUGAAUCUGCACUGUCACCCAGAAAAUCUGACAAUUCACCCAGAGAAUCUGACAAUUCACCCAGAGAAUCUGACAAUUCACUGGGAGAGCCAAUGACUCUCUGCAGUCACCCAGAGAAUCUGACAAGUAAUGCAGAGAAUCUGCCCAUUCACUCAGAGGAUCUAAAAAUUCACGCAGAGAAUCUGACAAUUCACCCAUGGAAUCUGCCCAUAAUGCUGCUUUCUCUUUCAAGGGCAAUACAUUGGGUGCAUAGAAGUGUAAUACAUUUUAAUGAGGGGCUCAUUGUAUGCCAGGUCUGCAAGGGUUAAAGGGAGAAGCCGGUACACCGGGUAACCAUGGACUGGCAGGUUCUCCAGGACAACCUGGACCAUCAGGAGAAAAAGGAUCCAGCGGCAGAAAUGGUAAGAA